rnacentral:misc_RNA from 1 species
UCACCCCUCAAGCCCCCGGCUUGGUGUUGGACGGUCUGGUUUAGGCACGCCUAGACCCCUCCUAAAGACAAUGACGGCGGGCUGAUCGCACCCCCGGUACACUGAGCUUCUUAACUGAGCACGUAUCGGACCCAGGGUCGACGGCACCCGGUCUUAACCUAAACUUUUCUCAA